rnacentral:rRNA from 1 species
AUUGAACGCUGGCGGCAGGCCUAACACAUGCAAGUCGAGCGGAUGAAGGGAGCUUGCUCCUGGAUUCAGCGGCGGACGGGUGAGUAAUGCCUAGGAAUCUGCCUGGUAGUGGGGGAUAACGUCCGGAAACGGGCGCUAAUACCGCAUACGUCCUGAGGGAGAAAGUGGGGGAUCUUCGGACCUCACGCUAUCAGAUGAGCCUAGGUCGGAUUAGCUAGUUGGUGGGGUAAAGGCCUACCAAGGCGACGAUCCGUAACUGGUCUGAGAGGAUGAUCAGUCACACUGGGACUGGGACACGGUCCAGACGCCUACGGGAAGGAGCAGUGGGGAAUAUUGGACAAUGGGCGAAAACCUGAUCCAGCCAUGCCGCGUGUGUGAAGAAGGUCUUCGGAUUGUAAAGCACUUUAAGUUGGGAGGAAGGGCAGUAAGUUAAUACCUUGCUGGUUUGACGUUACCAACAGAAUAAGCACCGGCUAACUUCGUG